CGUUGACAGCUGUGUGUGUAUCGUGUAUCAUCAUCAUCGUUCAGCACCACCAAGUGCGGCUCCUUUCCUGCUUGCACGCAUUAUUUGCGGACAUUUUUAAGUCGAAAAGUGCUCCGGAUUUUGUGUGUCCGAUCGUUUCCCAGUCGGUUGUUGUCAUAGCAGAAAAGAAAAAGUUUUCGCGAAAGUUCGACUUCGUGUCGUCACUGUGUGUUUUUCUUCUCGCGAAAUUUCCAAGCCCAGCGGUUCGCGGAUAGCGCAGUCAGUCAAUUUUCUUUUUGACGGUUCGAUCGGGAGGAGUAAGAAGACGACGAAGCGACGAUAAAGGAUGGCUCUCAAUCCGCAGUACGAUUUAAUUGGGAAAGGAUUCGUAACUACCUACUACACGCUGUUUGACGACCCGAACCAGCGGCACACGCUGGUUACGAUGUACAACGCUGAUUCAUCCUUUAUGACCUUUGAGGGCCAGCAAAUUCAGGGGUCAGCCAAAAUAGCCGAAAAACUACAAAGUCUAACGUUCCAAAAAAUUAGCCGAGCAAUAACGGCGAUCGACUGUCAGCCGAUGUUCGAUGGAGGAGUUUUAAUCAAUGUUCUAGGAAGAUUACAGACCGAUGAAGAUCAGCCCCACGCGUACACGCAAACGUUUGUGCUGAAACCGAUCGGAACCAGCUUCUUCGUACAGCACGACGUUUUCAGAUUAGCGUUGCACGAUUUAGCAUAGCGUGGCAAUUGUCGGCCCGUUGUCACUUCCUUUGCUGCCUAGACAAACGAACAAAAAAAAAACUAAAAAGUUGUUAUCCUCUGCAAAAUUGCAUCUUGCUAGCAAGAUGACCAACUAUUGUGUACCAUUAUUGUAGUAAACUACUGUUCAAUCCUUUCACAAAACGGCCAGUAGCCAGUGCUCUUUGGCAUACGAAGGAAGGGGGUGCGACGACAUCUGGCAGCCGCCACAAAGAAUACAAGAGCAAGCAGAUAAAAACGAUAACGUAUAGAAUUUAAUGAAAUUUUGUAAAAAAAAACCAAGCGAUCAGAAAGCAAAAAAGUGACUAAGCACACACGCAGAGACUACGCAAUUUUGUUAGAGAGGUUUUAUUAUCUCGGUCGGAAGCAGGCAUCUUAGUACUGUUGAAGAUAACCCUCUGAUCCGUUUUUUUUUUCCGUACACUCUUAGGAAAGCAAACAACCAGCAAAAAACUAGAGAUACUCGAACGGAUUAUAUCUCUGAUAAAUUAUGUUUAAACGUGCCGCUUCUGAUUUAUGUUUGCUUUAACUAACAGCUUGACAAAGAAGGAUAUAAUAAAUUAUUAUGAACACAAACUUUCGUGCUUGUUGGUCUGUACUAGCAUGGCGAAGAGCUCAGGCAAACAUCCGGACAUUAGCAGAAGUGCGACGAGGAUCCACCACACGCUUACUCGCAGGUUUUUGUUCUGAAACCAGCCGGAAACACAUUCUACUGUGCCCACGAUGUAUUUCGUCUGAACAUCCACAAUACUGCGUAAGGCUAGGGAAAGGCUUGCAGUCUGCUACCUACCGGUGUUUCGCACCCUGCACCCAAAUCUAACACACACAAUAAAAAAAAGAAAUUAACGCUUCGCUGUCAUUCACGGAACAUGGCUGUUUGGUCCAGCUAAGGUAACAAUUUAUGGAAAUAAAAAUGCUUACAAAGUU